rnacentral:lncRNA from 1 species
GGCCCUCCCGGCNCUCCCCCUCAGUCUCUGACAGAGAACAGGGAAAAGCCGCCAAGGACGGAUGGGGCGUACCCCCGGGGGCCUGACUCAGUCCUGCUGCAUCCUGAGGGCCAAGUCUGGAUCUAAGAUGAAUUUGCUACCCUUUGAAGGAAGACUAACUCAGUGUUGGUGAGAUAUCAGGAUUCACAUUUAAGAGACCCAGUGGAUUUCCUGACAACUUCUUCCACAAUUUUCUCAUCUCAGGCCCAUGGUUCCAUUUUGGUCACCAUGGCCACAGUGACUGAGACGGCCCACUACAUCCUUUGCAAAGGACAGCCUUCAGCUUCAGACUCCAAGCUAACUGCUUGUAGAAAACACUUCUUCCGUGGCACCUGAGUGGCUCAGUCGGUUAAGCAUCUGCCUUCAGCUCAGGUCAUGAUCCCAGGGUCCUGGGAUCAGGCCCCGCAUUGGGCUCCCUGCUUGGCGGGAGCCUGCUUCUCCAUCUCUGCCUGCCGCUCCCCCUGCUUGCGUUCUCUGUCUGUCGGGUAAAUAAAAUAUUAAAAAAAAAAAAAAGAAAACA